CAGCUCAAAGAAUGACUGAAACGGAAGCUUGGGGAUGGCUUGGAGACAGACACAUUCAGGUGUACUGCUGUUUUGUCCUCAGCCUGCACCAUGAGAGAAGGACCUUUCUCUCUUCAUCUGUAGGAUCAGCACUGAAGCUCAGGAACAGAGGAAAUUAAAGCAAGUCGUUGUUAAGGUAGAAACUCUUCCUGGAAUUGCCUGCAAAUGCUGCAUCCUCAUCAUGGUUCCAUGUGUCUGUGUGGCUACUGGUGUGGCUUUUACGUAACUCACUGGAUGGAAGUUGUCAGCUCACUUGUGGUUCUGUUCUGAGAAUGAUGUGGGAUGGGUGGCAGAAUGCCAACCCAGGGCAAAAAGAAGCCAUGCAGAGAAUGCCCUUCCAAAGGCAACAAGGCCGAAGGGAGGGCAGCAGCAAGCUAGGGCCUGCACUUCAGAUGAGCAACAGAAACCUGUCCAGGAAGGUUCCUGUGGGGAUGCUGGAGAUGAGGAUGAAAAGGAGAAGCUGAAAACCUGAGCUACAGGAGUGAGACAGGAGAAACUGGUAACGGGAAAACAACAUGGGGCACAGUGGGAAAGUGGGCACUUGGCUUCUAAAUGGAACUCGAGCAGGUUCUGACGACUCCUAAGCUGUUCUCCUUAGGGGACAGAGACAGCUUAAAGCAUCAGCACAAGAGCUGAGCGCCUGGUCCCGGCUUGGCUGGGGAACAUGUGAGUCUUGACUGGAAGUCUCUUCCCUCCCUCGUUUUGCUUUGUAACUUUCUGCUUUUAGUUACAUCUCUUUUUUUUACUCAAACAGUUUGAAAGAACUGACGGAAAAAAGCACCUUAUUCCAAGUUAUUUGUCCUGGUCCUGGUAACUUGGACUGAUAUUAAGAGUCCCAGUUUAGAUCCAGAGGCUGACUGUGAGAAAUAGAAGAAAUCCUUAAGCAGAAGGUCCUCCCCUCCCCUCCAAGCUGGCCUUGGCUGCUUCCAUCAGCUGUGGGCCAUGUCAUCCUGGCUUUUGUCCCUCACUCCUCCCAGAGAGUUAACCCAUGAGCCAUCAGUCAGAGAAGUGAGGGGUGGCACACAGGGGUUGGAAACCUAGGCUUCUCCAGUUGGUAAAUUUUUCUUCCAUUAGUAAAGAAGGACUAAAACAAAGAGGUGCGUGAGUGCACUGUGACAUUGGUGCUCUAAGAAGACCGUGCUGCAGAGGAGAGGAUGCAUUGAACAGAGGCCAGUAUACAGCCCCGCUCUCUUAAAAUGUGGACAUUUGAUCUUCUAAGAUAAGACUUUUUGAGCCACAAGCUACUCUUCUGAUUGGAUGUAGAACAAAACAUAGCAAGUCAUCGUCCACGUUCUUUCUAAACUUUGCAUCGUUGAAUGAAGAGGCCCUAUCUAAUAAGCUGUAGAACUGAACACUCCUCUUCAGUUUGAGAGGCUGUUCAAGCUUGUAAAGGCACGUGCAGGCAGCGCCACCAUGUGUUUUCUGAAGAGACCCAUAAGGCUACGCGGGAGAAGGAAUGAACGCCAGGACUCUCCCCAGCCAACGUAUACCUAAGUGGGACUUCUCAGUAUAAUAUGCUUGGCGCAUCUGUUAGGGGUGGCCCUUUCUCAGCCAUUUGACAACUUACUUCAGUCAAACCUAAUAAACUUCCAACUCUCAUUUUCCAAUUAUUAUUAAAAUUUCAAAGCAGGUAGGUGUAAAGUACCAGGUAUGUAGUAAACUGACUAUUUUUUCCCCCAUAAAAACAUUUGAAAAUUAAUAAUUGGUCCAUACAACUAAGCAGCGGUGUUGCGUGAGUGGUUAUUAAACUAUUA
rnacentral:lncRNA from 1 species